rnacentral:rRNA from 1 species
GACGAACGCUGGCGGCGUGCCUAAUACAUGCAAGUUGAGCGCUGAAGGUUGGUACUUGUACCAACUGGAUGAGCAGCGAACGGGUGAGUAACGCGUGGGGAAUCUGCCUUUGAGCGGGGGACAACAUUUGGAAACGAAUGCUAAUACCGCAUAAAAACUUUAAACACAAGUUUUAAGUUUGAAAGAUGCAAUUGCAUCACUCAAAGAUGAUCCCGCGUUGUAUUAGCUAGUUGGUGAGGUAAAGGCUCACCAAGGCGAUGAUACAUAGCCGACCUGAGAGGGUGAUCGGCCACAUUGGUACUGAGACACGGCCCAAACUCCUACGGGAGGCAGCAGUAGGGAAUCUUCGGCAAUGGACGAAAGUCUGACCGAGCAACGCCGCGUGAGUGAAGAAGGUUUUCGGAUCGUAAAACUCUGUUGGUAGAGAAGAACGUUGGUGAGAGUGGAAAGCUCAUCAAGUGACGGUAACUACCCAGAAAGGGACGGCUAACUACGUG